UACGUAGGGGGCAAGCGUUGUCCGGAUUUAUUGGGCGUAAAGAGCUCGUAGGCGGUUCCGUAAGUCGUGAAGUCAAAUCUCUGGGCUCAACCCAGAAUCGCUUCCGAUACUGCGGUGACUGGAGUCCGGUAGGGGAGUGUGGAAUUCCUGGUGUAGCGGUGAAAUGCGCAGAUAUCAGGAGGAACACCAACGGCGAAGGCAGCACUCUGGGCCGGUACUGACGCUGAGGAGCGAAAGCGUGGGGAGCGAACAGG
rnacentral:rRNA from 1 species